ensembl:lncRNA
GCCAGGCCUCCUUCACCAUGACUGACGCAUACAGAGGCCACGCCUCCUUCACCAUGACUGACGCAUACAGAGGCCACGCCUCCUUCACCAUGACUGUGCGGAUACAGAGGCCACGCCUCCUUCACCAUGACUGACGCAUACAGAGGCCACGCCUCCUUCACCAUGACUGACGGAUACAGAGGCCACGCCUCCUUCACCAUGACUGACGGAUACAGAGGCCACGCCUCCUUCACCAUGACUGACAGAUACAGAGGCCACGCCUCCUUCACCAUGACUGACGGAUACAGAGGCCACGCCUCCUUCACCAUGACUGACAGAUCCAGAGGCCACGCCUCCUUCACCAUGACUGACAGUUACAGAGGCCACGCCUCCUUCACCGUGACUGAUAGAUCCAGAGGCCACGCCUCCUUCCCCAGGACAGACAGUUGUCCUGAUGUUCAUGUUAAAAGUAAAUCUGAAUCAUAUUUGACUACAAGGACGUGAUGAAUGAUAAAACUGUGAAAGGACUGACACAGAACACUUUAUGGAACUGUACCGUCACUGUCAGUUUUCAGAACAUAAAGCAAAAUUCAUAAAUCGUGUUUUAAACCCCGUGGAGUUGCCCUGCUAAUUAAAAACACAGCUACGACCGUUUUGAUUCCAAAUGAAUGCAAAAACAAUUUGACACUUAAUCAAGCUGUUUUCAUUUACUCUGCGUUAUUAAAAUAAAUGAGUAAUAAAACGUGAGAAAAAUGAAAUAAUCCACUCGUUACCACCCGAAGCAGUCGUUUGGGCUCGGCGUUGUUUUACAGUUUAGCACCUCAGCUGGAACGCUUCUCGAGUUCUUAAAUAUCAGCAGUUCCUUCCUAAUUAAAAUGAGCGAAAAUCAACAAAUGCCUCCUUUACAGGUUUCUUCUGGCAUCUGCAUUUCAGACUACUGAGACUGGAAGAGGUGGAUGAAGGGAUGGAGGAUUCAAUGGAUAACUGAUUUAAUACACAGAAGGAUGGAGAGCUAGGAGGCUGGACGCAUAGAUGAGUGGUGGGUAGGUGGAUGGAUGAAG